GAAAGAGGAAGGAGCACAAAGGAAGGGGGUCAAAGCCUGACGACUGCAAACUUUGUCAUCCUUAAUGUAUCGUCACCACGACUCAGCGUACCGCCCUCAAGCAGCAGGAAUCAUAUGCUGGAAGGUAUAGAAAUGCAGAAAUUUCCUUCUGAUCCAGACCUGUUCCUCACCUGAGUAAUACACCUUUGCAUCAAAAUCUGGGAUAUUGUCAUCUGGUCUCCAUACUUUCUAAAUAAUUUAAUUACCAUGGGUACGUUAAUCCUGCUGUUCGGGUCCUUAUGGUCCUAAUUGUGCCUAAUUCUUCACAUUCUACAAGCCAUUGGUAAUGGUUCUGGUGAGAUGUUGAUUUGUGGUCACCAGUAGUAAAGACAACACUGGUAUUAUCUUUACCGUUUUUGUUGUUUGUUUUUUAUUUUUGUUGCUGUUUUUUUUUUUUGUUUUUUUUUUUUUUUUGUUUUUGCGCAGAUCCGCACUUUCCCGCCAUGUUGAAAUAUUCGUUGAUCGCUUUGCUGCUGUGCUCACUGGCACUAGUCAGCAUCAGCGCACAACAGAUAGAACCUUUGCAGGAGGUUAUCGAGAAAACCCUAGACGGCAAACGAUCUUUGCCAAUGGACUUGGAGCCUAGAGAGCGUCGCGGGGUGGACUGGUUGACAAGGGAAGUCUAUCCAGCUCCGAUUAAUGCCGACGUCGAGUCUAGACAGCGUCGCCAGAUAUACAUUCUACCAACGGAAGGCGAUCUACCUCUGAUUUAUCAGGAUUAGGUCGAGAAGAGCUAGAGCCUUCCUUGACAAUUGUCUCCACAGGAAAGAUGAGAGACAGUCAACUAAGUGGAACUUCCGAAACCAGAAAACAACUCGUCUUUGCUUAUAGGUCGAAGUCUCUGAUCUUGUGGACUGUCUCUUGAGCCAAUGACAAAAAAGGUUUUGCACCAUAUGUUACUGAAGUAAAACAUUGAAGAAAUUA